UAAUUGUUAUUUUCUCUUUUAGUGUCCCGAAAAGGACUUCGUCGCUUUUAUUGAUUUCCCACUUUUAAUAGUACUUGCGUGCUUUUAUAUUUUACGUUUCAAAAAGUGUGCUUCCUUCAGUUUCGUGCUAGUAAUAGGUGAGUAAAACUAAGAAAGCUUCAUGUGACAAUUCAGAGCUAAAGCAUCUUGUCGGCAUUAGUAAAAGUUUAAAGGCAAAUCGGAAGCGAUGGACAGUGGAAAUGAAGGCUUAUCUCUACACCGAUAGCAUCUCCUAGUCUGUUUUUCAUUGCUAGUGGCUCAUAGGAUGUAAAUGAGUGACGCACGCUCUGAGCACGGUACCGCCGCGUGACACUUUUCUUCCAUCUUCGUCGCCUCUCCCUCAGAUAUCGGCGCCAUUCCCAGGCUUUUAGCGCAUGCGCAAUAAUGGCUCUGAGACCCGCGAAUUUCCUUACACCAGGUUUUAUUUCAUGCAAUUAUUCAAUCGGGGCGUACAUCCACUAGGAUUUUAUUACACGCUUGUGUUCGUUGUCGGUUUGUGAACACGAAUAAGCAAAAUGGUAAAACGGAUCAAGUUAUUUACUCCCAAGAUAUCGAUCGCACUCUCAACUCUCGUCUCUCUCUCUUUACGUUUCUUUAAGAUGUAAUCCAUUCGGAAGGAGUUAAAAAGUGUUGGGAUUUAGAGAAAUUAGGUAAUUGUCCUAACCUUCCCAGCUAAUGUAAUUCUCUUUUACAGGUGAGAACUAGAGCCUGGCUUUACUUCGGAAAUAUCGUUUAUCAAAUAGAAUUUGAAUUCUGCCAUAGUCGAGACGGCCAUUAAUCUUAGCAUUUGAAACGGCCAUGUCAUACCCUUGACGACGUUUCCCGUUUGUAUGUGUCUUUUUGAAGUCAUCAAUUUCUCCCCUUUUUAUGGUAUUAAUUCUUUUUCGGUCUAUAACCGUCUAAAUUCGAUUUCCUUAGUAAUCUAAUUUAGGAUUGGAACCGCUUAUCGGUCUGAGCGCGAUAUUUGAUGUUUUACUCGGCUUUCGUAUCCAUCGCGUCGUGCGAGCUCUGAAAAUAUUUCCAAACAGGUGAAUAUGUAUGAUUAAUAAUUGGUUCACUCUUCUUUACAAAAAAGAUAUCGGAAAUUUUAAUAAAAUCAACUGUAGAAUGUAACACAUAUUGGAGGCAAAGUAAUAUUAAUUUCCUCGGUAGGGGAACAUUGCGAAAGGCGAGAAGAUAAGAUUUUUUUCAAAGGAGGAAAAAGGGAGAAAACAAACAGUGCUGAGGUUAAGAUUUUAUCCUGGGCUUGUGGCUUGAGUGAGGUUUUCGAAUUCAUGAUAACAUCACAGCCAGAGGCUUCAAAAAAGUGGUGUUUUCAAGAGCUGAGAGACCACCAAACUUGUCUUAAAGAAACGAGCUUUUCAGCGCGAUGAUAACCAUGCUUUUAGGGCGCUAAUUCCAUCUUUAUUAAAAAACACAAUAAGAUUUUACUAAGCUGAUGCCAUUUAGAUUUAACUCAUCACAAUGGUAGACGGGAAUAUAAAAAAUACUGGUACAAAAGAAAAGGAGAUGAAGUAAACAAAUGAGAAUUGCGGGCGGGCACGCGAGGAGAGACAGGUGAAAUUUCGCCAAAGGUUCUCGUGCUAACGAUAUUAUAAAGGUUAAACUAAGAGUAAAAACUCCAAAUUAACGCUCGUUAGAAAACGCAUUUAAGGUAUGACUUGGCCACUUGAAGCUCUUAACGUGAACGAAGAACUCGCAAAACAAGAAGGCUUGUGGUGAUGUCCAACGUGACAAACAUGCUACUCGGUUAUUAAAACUGAUUAGACUUUAUUUGUUUCUUAUUUCAUCGGCUUUUUGAAUAGAAGCUGUUCAGCGUUAUAACACGACAAUGUAUUAGAGUUUCCUGAAGUUUAGAAAUAAAAUGAAAGAAACAAGAAAAA